ensembl:lncRNA
GUUUAACUUUACUGCUUCAGUCUCAUUACUGGAGAUGUCACAGGCUAGGAAUAUCUGUUAGCUCUAAGGUAUGCUGCCUUGGACCAUAAAGAAGGCUGAACACCAACGAACUGAUGCUUUUAAAUUGUGAUGCUGGAGAAGAAUUUUGAGAGUCCCUUACGCUGCAAAGAGAUCAAACUAGUCAACUUUAAAGGAAAUCAACACUGACUAUUCACUGGAAGAACUAUUGCUGAAGCUGAAGCUCCAAUAGUUUGGCGAUCUGAUGUGAAGAGCCAGCUUAUUUGAAAAGACCCUGCUGGGAAAGGGUGAAGACAAAAGGAAAAGGCAGAAGCAAAGGAUAAGAUGGUUAGAUAGAAUCACCAACUCAGUGGACGUGAAUCUGAGCAAACUCUGGGAGAUAGUGGAGGACAAGAGGAGCCUGGCAUGCAACAGUCCAUGGGGUCGCAGAGUCAGACAUGAUUUAGUGACUGAAAAACAGCAACAGCAAAUGCUGCUUUGGAUAAGGCGAGAUGCAGCUCCCUCCCUCUUGUGACUCUUUGAAGAUUCCUAAAGUUGACAAAGGAGUAAUAUAUGUGCACAGAUUGAAUUCACCUAGAUUGCUUUAUACACAAUCCCAGAAGACUUUAGCAAACGUUCUUGUCCUUCAAAAGAUUUUGGAUCAUCUAUCUAGCUUCUUGCCUUGUGCAAUUUUGAAAUUUGUCUCUGUAAAGAAAGGAAGUGUGCAGUGCACUGUGCAGCCAGAGGUGGAGAAGCUCUAUACAGUCAGCAAAAACAAGACCGGGAGCUGACUGUAGCUCAGAUCACGAACUUCUUAUUGCCAAAUUCAGACUUAAAUUGAAGAAAGUAGGGAAAACCACUAGUCCAUUCAGGUAUGACCUAAAUAAAAUCCCUUAUGAUUACACAGUGAAACUGAGAAAUAGAUUUAAGGGACUAGAUCUGAUAGGCAGAGUGCCUUAGGAACUAUGGAUGGAAGUUCAUGACACUGUACAGGAGACAGGGAUCAAGACCAUCCCCAAGAAAAAGAAAUACAAAAAGCAAAAUGGCAUUCUGAGGAGGGCUUACAAAUAGCUAUGAGAAGAAGAGAAGGGAAAAACAAAGGAGAAAAAGAUAUACCCAUUUGAAUGCAGAGUUCCAAAGAAUAUCAAGGAAAGAUAAGAAAGCCUUCUUCAGGGAUUAGUGCAAAGAAAUAGAGGAAAAUAAUCUAAUGGGAAAGACUAGAGAUGUCUUCAAGAAAAUUAGAGACACCAAGGAAACAUUUCAUGCAAAGAUGGGCUCAAUAAAGGACAGAAAUUGUAUGGACCUAACAGAAGCAGAAGAUAUAAAGAAGAGGUGGCAAGAUUGCACAGAA